rnacentral:rRNA from 1 species
GGGGAAUAUUGCGCAAUGGGGGCAACCCUGACGCAGCCAUGCCGCGUGAAUGAAGAAGGCCUUCGGGUUGUAAAGUUCUUUCGGUAGCGAGGAAGGCAUUUAGUUUAAUAAACUAGGUGAUUGACGUUAACUACAGAAGAAGCACCGGCUAACUCCGUGCCAGCAGCCGCGGUAAUACGGAGGGUGCGAGCGUUAAUCGGAAUAACUGGGCGUAAAGGGCACGCAGGCGGUGACUUAAGUGAGGUGUGAAAGCCCCGGGCUUAACCUGGGAAUUGCAUUUCAUACUGGGUCGCUAGAGUACUUUAGGGAGGGGUAGAAUUCCACGUGUAGCGGUGAAAUGCGUAGAGAUGUGGAGGAAUACCGAAGGCGAAGGCAGCCCCUUGGGAAUGUACUGACGCUCAUGUGCGAAAGCGUGGGGAGCAAACAGGAUUAGAUACCCUGGUAGUCCACGCUGUAAACGAUGUCGAUUUGGGGGUUGAACUUUGAGUUUGGCGCCCGUAGCUAACGUGAUAAAUCGACCGCCUGGGGAGUACGGCCGCAAGGUUA